rnacentral:rRNA from 1 species
CCUACGGGGGGCUGCAGUAAGGAAUAUUGGUCAAUGGACGCAAGUCUGAACCAGCCAUGCCGCGUGGAGGAUUAAGGCCCUCUGGGUUGUAAACUCCUUUUAUCUGGGAAGAAAUGUACUUUUUCUUGAGUACUUGACGGUACCAGAGGAAUAAGCACCGGCUAACUCCGUGCCAGCAGCCGCGGUAAUACGGGGGGUGCCGGAUUCAUCCGGAUUCACGGGGUUGUAGGGGGGCAGGUAUGGGAGUGGUGAAAUCUCCGGGCUUAACCCGGAAACUGCCGUUGAUACUAUUUGUCUUGAAUAUUGUGGAGGUAAGCGGAAUAUGUCAUGUAGCGGUGAAAUGCUUAGAUAUGACAUAGAACACCAAUUGCGAAGGCAGCUUACUACACAAUCAUUGACGCUGAGGCACGAAAGCGUGGGGAUCAAACAGGAUUAGAUACCCGGGUAGUC